rnacentral:rRNA from 1 species
UACGUAGGGUGCAAGCGUUAUCCGGAAUUAUUGGGCGUAAAGAGCUCGUAGGCGGUUUGUCACGUCUGCUGUGAAAACUGGAGGCUCAACCUCCAGCCUGCAGUGGGUACGGGCAGACUAGAGUGCGGUAGGGGAGAUUGGAAUUCCUGGUGUAACGGUGGAAUGCGCAGAUAUCAGGAGGAACACCGGUGGCGAAGGCGGGUCUCUGGGCCGAUACUGACGCUGAGGAGCGAAAGCGUGGGGAGCGAACAGG